rnacentral:rRNA from 1 species
UACGUAGGAGGCGAGCGUUGUCCGGAAUUACUGGGCGUAAAGAGCGCGUAGGCGGCGCUGUACGACGUAGGUGAAAGCCCCCGGCUCAACUGGGGAGGGUCCUAGGUAAUGGCAGUGCUAAUGAGUGCAGGAGAGGGAAGUGGAACUCCGGGAGUAGCGGUGAAAUGCGUAGAGACCCGGAGGAACACCAGUGGCGAAGGCGGCUUCCUGGUCUGCGACUGACGCUGUGGCGCGAAAGCUAGGGGAGCAAACAG